ACUCCUACGGGAGGCAGCAGUGGGGAAUUUUGGACAAUGGGCGAAAGCCUGAUCCAGCAAUGCCGCGUGAGUGAAGAAGGCCUUCGGGUUGUAAAGCUCUUUUGUCAGGGAAGAAACGGUGAAAGCUAAUAUCUUUUGCUAAUGACGGUACCUGAAGAAUAAGCACCGGCUAACUACGUGCCAGCAGCCGCGGUAAUACGUAGGGUGCAAGCGUUAAUCGGAAUUACUGGGCGUAAAGCGUGCGCAGGCGGUUUUGUAAGUCUGAUGUGAAAUCCCCGGGCUCAACCUGGGAAUUGCAUUGGAGACUGCAAGGCUAGAAUCUAGCAGAGGGGGGUAGAAUUCCACGUGUAGCAGUGAAAUGCGUAGAUAUGUAGAGGAACACCGAUGGCGAAGGCAGCCCCCUGGGUCAAGAUUGACGCUCAUGCACGAAAGCGUGCGGAGCAAACAGGAUUAGAAACCCGAGUAGUCCC
rnacentral:rRNA from 1 species